rnacentral:rRNA from 1 species
GGUUGAUCCUGCCAGUAGUCAUAUGCUUGUCUCAAAGAUUAAGCCAUGCAUGUCUAAGUAUAAGCUUUUAUACGGUGAAACUGCGAAUGGCUCAUUAAAACAGUUAUAGUUUAUUUGAUGGUCUCUCUUACAUGGAUAACCAUGGUAAUUCUAUGGCUAAUACAUGCGCAAUCGCCUCCUUCUCUGGAGGGGCUGUGUUUAUUAGAUACAAAACCAACCCACUUUGUGGAGCCUUGGUGAUUCAUAGUAACCGAACGGAUCGCAUUUGGCUUCGGCCCGCGAUGGAUCAUUCA